AAAACGACUCUCGGCAACGGAUAUCUCGGCUCUUGCAUCGAUGAAGAACGUAGCGAAAUGCGAUACUUGGUGUGAAUUGCAGAAUCCCGUGAACCAUCGAGUCUUUGAACGCAAGUUGCGCCCGAAGCCAUUAGGCCGAGGGCACGCCUGCCUGGGUGUCACUA
rnacentral:rRNA from 1 species